CCCCGCGAAUGCCGCGAGGCCUCUGUCCGACGGAACCCUGACGCACUUCCCCAGCGCCAGGUUUUCAUUUCGGGCAGGGACCUCGAAGCAUUCGCCACGGCAA
rfam:Rhodococcus jostii RHA1, complete genome.